UACGGGGGGGGCAAGCGUUGUUCGGAAUUACUGGGCGUAAAGGGCUUGUAGGUGGCCAACUAAGUCAGGCGUGAAAUCCCUCGGCUUAACCGGGGAACUGCGUCUGAUACUGGAUGGCUGGAGUGUGGGAGAGGGAUGCGGAAUUCCAGGUGUAGCGGUGAAAUGCGUAGAUAUCAGGAGGAACACCGAUGGCGAAGGCAGGUCUCUGGGCUGACACUGACGCUCAUGCACGAAAGCGUGGGGAGCAAACAGG
rnacentral:rRNA from 1 species